rnacentral:rRNA from 1 species
GACGAACGCUGGCGGCGUGCUUAACACAUGCAAGUCGAACGGAGAGGCGCGGCUUUUGUGCGGUUCUCGAGUGGCGAACGGGUGAGUGACACGUGUGGAUCCUGCCCUUUAUUGUGGGGUAACUUUAGGAAACUGGGGCUAAUACCGGAUAUAAGCUCCUGCGGCAUGUUGGGGGUUGGAAAGAUUCGGCGUUUCUGGAUGGACUCGAGGCUUAUCAGCUUGUUGGUGGGGUGGUGGCGUACCAAGGCUUUGACGGGUAGCCGGACUGAGAGGGAGACAGGCCACAGUGGGACUGAGGAAGGGGCAAGAGUGCUACGGGAGGCAGCGGGGGGGAACAGUGCGAACUGGGCGGAAGCAGGAAGCAGGAAUGCCGCGUGGGGGAUGACGGCUUUCGGGUUGUAAACGGCGUUAGCCUGUGAAGUAGCGUGAGUGACGGUAAUGGGUCAGGAAGCAACGGCUAACUACGUG